CCUGGCUCAUGAGAUGAUGCAUGCAUGGAUGCGACUUAAAGGUUUCCAACAUCUCAGUCAAGAUGUUGAAGAGGGCAUUUGUCAGGUGCUUGCAUACAUGUGGUUAGAGUCACAGCUCCGAACUGGUUCUGGCAGCAAUGUUGCUUCAUCCUCUGCUUCUCGAGCUUCAAAACGGGGUGCAAGAUCUCCAUUUGAGAGGAAGCUGGGGGAAUUUUUUAAACAUCAGAUUGAAUCAGACACUUCCCCUGUAUAUGGAGAUGGAUUCAGAAUAGGCCACCAAGCAGUGCAAAAAUAUGGCCUUCAAAGGACACUUGACCAUAUUCGAAUGACAGGGACAUUUCCAUAUUGAACUCCUGAAUCUUGAAUUCUUACCAUGCUUUUCUUUAACACAGUUAAAAGCUUUGGCCUUUUCCUAUACGACCCCAAGGCCAAACCACACUGCACAUAGGAAUUGUUUUCUAGAGUAGUUUUAAGCAGUCCUGAUAUGUUUUUCGUCCCAUGGGUAUGAUUCCAUUGAAUAGCCUUUUUUGAUGAAGUUAUUAUUUAAUGAGAAAUAGUCAUUCUUUGAUUUAAGUCUCGUGUCUCGCUCAAUUCUGAUACAUAAGCUCAUUUCAUUAACAUCGAGUAUAUGUGCUCAUUACGUCUCAUCUUUUAGAGCAAUCCUUGUUGUUGCUGAUACAAUUCUAGAUUGUUUAACGGAAACAAUGUAUAAAUUCUUUUAUUAAAGAAGUCUCCUUUAUUUAGAGGA
rnacentral:misc_RNA from 1 species